CCCGGGUGUCCCUCGCACAGGUCCCGCCGGUCGCCGACAGCGAGCGAGCCAGGCUUGGGCGCCUUUUACACACAAGCCCUCCCGGUGCGGGGACGCGCUGAACGGGGAAGCGGCAAAGCGUUACUGACCUGAUAGGCACAGAGAGUCCGAACCGCUUCCUGAAACAGAGGUUGUAUGCCUGGGAACUGUUGGAGACUGCUGCCAUUGUGGCUUGAGGGGUGCCCCCUCCACACUUGUGGAACACCUGACCCUGAUGAGAAGGAGAAAGACGACGACUAGGGAGGAUAUGUUCAAUGAGAUCCUGCAUGACAGUGCUGGAUCAGACUGUGAACAGAGGACAUGGAAGGUGACUAUGGCAGACAGCAUGGAGAAGGAAAGAGAAGACAGGAAAAAGACCCAGGAAAAGCAGAGGGAAAUCCACCAGGACAUAAUGUGUCUUCUCAGGCAGCAAACGCAAAUGCUGCAGAGUUGUUGACCUCCAGGUCCAAUAAUCAUGGCUUGCUUCCCUCUGCAGUCAAUGGAGAACACACUUUUAGCACUUUUCUACACCCUCCGACAUUCCACAUGACCAAUGCGUAAUUUGUGCAAGGGCUGAGCCCCACCCCCUCUAGACUUGGCGGUUCAGAGCCCCAGCAACUCUGGGCUUACUGUUUCAGUUAUGAAAGUAAAAUAAUUGCUUGAGUCCCGGUACCUCUUUCAUUACAAAUUAAGCACAGCACGUGAUAUUAGCAGCCACAUACCUACCCCUACCACUCCAUACUGGGAGACAGUAAGGACAACCACAACUUCACAUACACUGACCUGUGACAGCCACGGCUGCUGUAUGUGUAGUGUACCCAAAAUGGACAGGAAUGUUAUCUACCAUUUUUAAUUUUAAAGUUCUGUUUUAUUAAUUUAUUUUAGAAGUUUAUAUUGUAUUUAUUUUAAUUACCCUUUUUUGCACUGAUUGUGGUAUGUAAUACAUUUAUAUUUAUUGGAAAUAAAUUCAUGUUUAUUUUUUCACAACA